rnacentral:rRNA from 1 species
GCAUAUCAAUAAGCGGAGGAAAAGAAACCAACAGGGAUUGCCCCAGUAACGGCGAGUGAAGCGGCAACAGCUCAAAUUUGAAAUCUGGCCUCGGCCCGAGUUGUAAUUUGCAGAGGAUGCUUCUGGCGCGGCGCCUUCCAAGUCCCCUGGAACGGGGCGCCGGAGAGGGUGAGAGCCCCGUACUGUCGGACGCCAAGCCAGUGUGAAGCUCCUUCGACGAGUCGAGUAGUUUGGGAAUGCUGCUCAAAGCGGGAGGUAGACCCCUUCUAAAGCUAAAUACCGGCCAGAGACCGAUAGCGCACAAGUAGAGUGAUCGAAAGAUGAAAAGCACUUUGAAAAGAGGGUUAAACAGCACGUGAAAUUGUUGAAAGGGAAGCGCUCGUGACCAGACUUGCGCCGGGGCGAUCAUCUGGCGUUCUCGCCGGUGCACUCGCCCCGGCCCAGGCCAGCGUCGGUUCGCGCGGGGGGAUAAAGGCGUCGGGAACGUGGCUCCCCCGGGAGUGUUAUAGCCCGGCGCGUCAUGCCCCCGCUGCGGACCGAGGUUCGCGCUCUGCAAGGACGCUGGCAUAAUGGUCAUCAGCGACCCGUCUUGAAACACGGACCAAGGAGUCGAGGUUCUGCGCGAGUGUCUGGGUGUCAAACCCGCACGCGUAAUGAAAGUGAACGCAGGUGGGAGCUUCGGCGCACCACCGACCGAUCCUGAUGUUCUCGGAUGGAUUUGAGUAGGAGCGUGGGGCCUCGGACCCGAAAGAUGGUGAACUAUGCUUGGAUAGGGUGAAGUCAGAGGAAACUCUGAUGGAGGCUCGCAGCGGUUCUGACGUGCAAAUCGAUCGUCAAAUCUGAGCAUGGGGGCGAAAGAC